rnacentral:rRNA from 1 species
GUAGGUGGCAAGCGUUGUCCGGAAUUAUUGGGCGUAAAGCGCGCGCAGGCGGUCCUUUAAGUCUGAUGUGAAAGCCCACGGCUCAACCGUGGAGGGUCAUUGGAAACUGGGGGACUUGAGUACAGAAGAGGAAAGCGGAAUUCCAAGUGUAGCGGUGAAAUGCGUAGAGAUUUGGAGGAACACCAGUGGCGAAGGCGGCUUUCUGGUCUGUAACUGACGCUGAGGCGCGAAAGCGUGGGGAGCAAACAGGAUAGAUACCCUGGUAGUCCACGCCGUAAACGAUGAGUGCUAAGUGUUAGGGGGUUUCCCGCCCCCCUUAGUGCUGCAGCUAACGCAUUAAGCACUCCGCCUGGGGAGUACGCCGCAAGGCUA